rnacentral:rRNA from 1 species
GUAGGUGGCAAGCGUUGUCCGGAAUUAUUGGGCGUAAAGCGCGCGCAGGCGGUUCUUUAAGUCUGAUGUGAAAGCCCACGGCUCAACCGUGGAGGGUCAUUGGAAACUGGAGAACUUGAGUACAGAAGAGGAAAGCGGAAUUCCACGUGUAGCGGUGAAAUGCGUAGAGAUGUGGAGGAACACCAGUGGCGAAGGCGGCUUUCUGGUCUGUAACUGACGCUGAGGCGCGAAAGCGUGGGGAGCAAACAGGAUUAGAUACCCUGGUAGUCCACGCCGUAAACGAUGAGUGCUAAGUGUUAGGGGGGUUUUCCGCCCCCCUUAGUGCUGCAGCUAACGCAUUAAGCACUCCGGCCUGGGAGUACGGCCGCAAGGCUG